rnacentral:rRNA from 1 species
CGUGUAGGCGGCCUGCUAAGUCUGAUGUGAAAGCCCGAGGCUCACCCUCGGAAGUGCAUUGGAAACUGGCAGACUGGAGUCCCGGAGAGGAGGGUGGAAUUCCUGGUGUAGCGGUGAAAUGCGUAGAUAUCAGGAGGAACACCGGUGGCGAAGGCGGCCCUCUGGACGGUGACUGACGCUGAGACGCGAAAGCGUGGGGAGCAAACA